UGAAAUAUGUUGGAGAAGAUUUGCCUUUAUGAAAUAGCCCUACCUCUAAUUGAACGUAUCACUUAUUCACUUCAGCCUAUCCUCCCCCACGCCGCCCAUCACUGGCGCCCACCUCUACCACGUCGCCCUCCCCCAUCGCCCUUCACCGCAGCCUCCUUUGCACGACGUCCUCUUCCGCUGCCGUCUCCUUCAGCCCUUCUACUCCGUUGCCCCUCCUCCCUCGUCGCCCCUGUUCGCCUUUUCCCCUGCUCGCCGCGACCUAUGCUCGUCGUCGCGCAUCUCUCAAUCUCGUCUAUUUGCCUCUCUCGCCGGCCUCUCUGUAAGUUGGGCUAUGCCUCUUCUUCUUCUUCUUCUUCUUAAUCUUUUUGUUUAUUUUUCUUUAUGUGGUUUAUCAUUUUUCCGUAUAUUUUAGAGAGUGGAUUGUUUUCCAUUGUGCUGAUUAAUUUAUUGGCUUUAAGCUCUUUAUCAGAUAUGCAUCGAUUAGGGCAAUUGAGACGAAAUUAGUUUUUGAUGAUCAACAAUGGCUAACUUAUUGGGUUCUUUACUCUAUGAUUACUCUUUUCGAGCUCACUUUUGCAAAGCUUAUUGAAUGGUAAGUCUCUUCUAAUUUGCUACGAUUUUCAUCUCAUAAUGGCUAUGUGUGUGGAGAAAGUUGCUCAAGAUUGGAUUUUACUCCCCCUCUUUGAAGAUUUGACUGUUGUUAGUUUUAAUGAUUGAAUCCGUUAAUCGUUUGAAAUAAUAAAUGUACUGCAGUUUCUUCAUCUUUUGUGAGCUUCAAAUUUUAUUUACCCUGAUGAUGUUAGGUUUUGCAUUUGAUGCUGUCAGUAUUUGAAUCUAGUUUCCUACUGUGCUAAAAGUUCUCUCGAUUCUUUGUUCUUACUAUUUUCACUAAAUAGUUCCGGAAUUGGGAAUGAAUUUGUUGAAUUUGAGAAUAAUUUCGGCAGGUUAUGUUUAAGGACAAAAUUAUAUUUGAAAUAGUUAUGCCUUUCUAUUGACUAAAUGAAUAGCUUUGUGAAACUAAAAGGAUUUUAGACUUAGAUAUCUGAUGAUGCUGAGUUCUGAAAUACUUUUUGUUGUGUAUUGAAGGUGUGAUUGGAUUAUAAUUUGUUGGGGUAUUUGGUCUGACCAUUUUCAUAUGGUAUUGUUCACCUUUGAAUAUGUAAGGCCUUACAUUGUUACUCGGCAGAAGUCAGUUAACACGUGCCUAUGUCUGGAUGUAAAAUUCAUGUAUGGAGCAUACUGUAAUUCCUUCAUGGUACCAGCGAGAAUGAUAUAUAAAAAGUAUAGAAGAUUUUAUUAGAAGGAGUUGGGAAACUUUGAUUGCUCUGAAGAGUGCACAUGAGGUACCAUUUGCAUACAUAGAGGAAGCUGGUGAUCCAUACAAAGCUGGGAUGGAGGAGUGCGUUGACUUUAUCGUGAUGAGUGGGCAAGCUUGUUGAUGGAAAACAUAUAGUACGAUAGAUUUUUGUUUUAGUUUGAUUGACCUUCUGAAUCGACAUAAUUGUAUUGAUGAUAUCUACAUCAUACUUUGUACUUUGUGUUUAAUUUUAGGUUUAACAUUGUAUUAAUACUUGCUACGAGAUUGUUAGAUGAAAUAUUUUGAUUCUGAAUGCAAUGAAAUUUAUUUUAUUUUAA